UACGUAGGGGGCUAGCGUUGUCCGGAAUUACUGGGCGUAAAGCGUGCGCAGGCGGUCUUUUAAGUCAGAUGUGAAAUCCCCGGGCUUAACCUGGGAACUGCGUUUGAAACUGGAAGGCUUGAGUGUGGCAGAGGGGGGUGGAAUUCCACGUGUAGCAGUGAAAUGCGUAGAGAUGUGGAGGAACACCGAUGGCGAAGGCAGCCCCCCUGGGCUAACACUGACGCUCAUGCACGAAAGCGUGGGGAGCAAACAGG
rnacentral:rRNA from 1 species